rnacentral:piRNA from 1 species
UCCUGGUGCCCGGCUUCAGGGUCCAUUGGA